AAAAACUGCAUUCCACCGACGACGAAACAGACAGUACUUGCGCACAUCCAACUAAUUUGCAAGACGUAUCGCGCAGCAAGCCGGGAAGAGAACAGUGAAGAGGGGGAGUACGGAAACUUCGGCAUAUUUCUUCUAAAAUAACCAAGGCACUUUAUGAUUGUAACAUAUAUGGUGAG